UACGUAGGUGGCAAGCGUUGUCCGGAUUUACUGGGCGUAAAGAGCGCGCAGGCGGUCGAUUUAGUCGCGUGUGAAAGCCCCCGGCUCAACUGGGGAGGGUCACGCGAUACUGAUCGACUCGAAGGCAGGAGAGGGUAGUGGAAUUCCCGGUGUAGUGGUGAAAUGCGUAGAUAUCGGGAGGAACACCAGUGGCGAAGGCGGCUCUCUGGGCCCUACCUGACGCUGAGACGCGAAAGCGUGGGGAGCGAACCGG
rnacentral:rRNA from 1 species